AGAACUUUGAAGAGAGAGUUCAAGAGUACGUGAAACCGUUAAGAGCCAAACGGGUGGGACCUCGAAGGUCGAACCGGGGGGAUUCAGCUCGUCGGCUCAGGUCGGCCGAGCGCGGGAUUCGCUGAGGCGACCCAGGCACUCUUGGGCGUGCCCGCGCUCGAGCCGGCGCCGGCGGGCGUAUUUCCCCCCGUGAUGUAGGACGCCGCGACCCGUUGCUGGGGACGUCUAAGGCCCGGUUGGACUGGUACCCCGACGUCGCGCCUCCGUGCCGGCGAAGGGGGAAACCUCCGGUGUCCUGGCUGCCCUGCGACGGUCGUGCAGCAGAGGGGCCCCUGUGGCCCUCUCUCGCGGCGUGCAAAAAGUCGGUGACCCACCCGACCCGUCUUGAAACACGGACCAAGGAGUCUAACAUGUGUGCGAGUCAUUGGGCGCACUAAACCCAGAGGCGCAAUGAAAGUGAAAGGGGGGCGUCCUCGCGGCGCCCUCCGGGGCCGAUCCCUGACCGAGCGAGGCCGCCGUGGUUGACCCACACCAAAGCGGGGCCGCCGAGGCGGCGCGCGGGGUGAGACCCUUUCCCCCGUUAGCGCCGCCGGCCCCGCGGGCUCCCGGCGCGCUCUUUGGUCCGGGCCCGUUUAACCGCGGGUCCGCCUGUACGCAGGGGGGCGCAGGCCCGGGACUUGCCACCCGACGCCGUCGCGCGAAUCUGUUGUUGGCCUCGCCGGCUCUGCUUGGGCUCUCGGUUGGCGUGCCGCGUGUCUUUGGGCGGGUCGUUGCGGGCGGGGCGGGCCUUCGCGGGCUCGUCCUUCCCCUCGGCUCGUCCGGCGCGGUUCCGCCCUCCGAUCCUGCUCUGUCCGGCGUGGCCUAGCGCGCGUGCUGUCGGCAAGUACCAUGAGCAGACAUGUUGGGACCCGAAAGAUGGUGAACUAUGCCUGGCCAGGAUGAAGCCAGA
rnacentral:rRNA from 1 species